GCCUUGCUAGCUCAGUUGGUAGAGCAUGAGAUUCUUAAUCUCAGGGUCAUGGGUUUGAGCCCCAUGUUGGGUG